rnacentral:rRNA from 1 species
UACGUAGGGAGCAAGCGUUGUUCGGAUUUACUGGGCGUAAAGGGCGCGUAGGCGGCCUACUAAGUCGGACGUGAAAUCCCUCGGCUCAACCGAGGAACUGCGUCCGAUACUGGUGGGCUUGAAUCCGGGAGAGGGAUGUGGAAUUCCAGGUGUAGCGGUGAAAUGCGUGAGAUAUCUGGAGGAACACCGGUGGCGAAGGCGGCAUCCUGGACCGGCAUUG